UAACGUUGCCGCUUCUUCCUCCUCCUCCUCCUCCAGUUCCGAGAUGGUGUCGAACUCCGCCAUGUUGGGCAGCAGGAUGCUCAUCACGUGACCUCCGUGAGCGUGGCGGCGGCCACACUCACCGAGACUUUGAACCUACUGAGACACUGACUUUGCACAGUCCUGUGAGCCUGACAUCUGAUAUGCAGGUGGAUCCGAGUUAUUGUCUGGGGAGAAGAUGCCAUGGCUGGAAAAGACCAGAAAGCUGGGUUUUGGCUAUUACAAAUUGUGCUCCACUGUCUGGCCCCUCAUUUCUAGCCUUCAGAGAGUUCUCCAGACUGCUCUCCACAGGAGUUGGGCCAAUUGACAUUCCCACCAGCAGUGCAGGU